rnacentral:tRNA from 1 species
GGGCGAUUAGCUCAGUGGGAGAGCGCUGCAUUCACACUGCAGAGGUCACUGGUUCAAAUCCAGUAUCGCCCACCA